ACUAUACCUUUCAGCAAACAAGAUCUCAGUUUCUACAACUUGACAACACAAAAAAUAACUACCAAAAUUGGGAUUACAACGAGAAAAAAGGCGGUCUAAUGUGGUCUCUUUGGCAUUUGGACUCUCCAAAAGUGUUGUCGUACCCAUGUUGGAUUCUCCCAAAUGCUUUUGGAGUGCACAACACAUACCUGUCGACAUUUUUGAAGAGUCCAGAAUAUUCAGUUUACAUGUUGUGUUGGCAACAAGGGGGAUUGUUCUCCACAAUGUGUGUGCUCUUUAUACUCGAGGCUCUCAUCACCAGCAUCUGCCAUGGAAUUUAAGGGCUGUGGUUCUACGCGAGGAAAUAAUAGCUUGAGCCGGAAAGCAUCUACACCAUUCAAAUAAUAACGAAAAAGUCUCUUUGCUCUAAUAAAUCCAAGACGACCAUACAAAGCGAGUGCUCCUUUAUUUGUUACUUCAGCUUCCAAAGUCACCUCUUCACAACCAGAUUCCAUCAUCACCUUGAUUGAUCUCGUGACAAGUUCUGUAGCGAUUCCUUUGCCUCUGUAAGGCUUAAGCACCACAAGCAUCGCAAUGUAACCUCUGAAUGUACCACGAUGCUCUCCCAUCUUGCAGACCACCGUCCCUACACAUUUCCCCUUAUGGAAGGCCAUAAAAGACAGUUGUGGCCAAAGAUAGACAAAGUAGCGGUAAGUGAAGAUAGAGUAGGGCUCGCUGAGCUCUUCGUCAACAAGGUUCAUGAUAAGAGGUAGAUGAUGUUCACCCCCAUAGCUAACAUAUUUUAUUUCUGGUGCCUUGAUGUCUACUUCUGGUUCAUUUUCACUCCUUGUCUCCAUGAGUCAGCGAUGCACCUGGUGGCGAUCCAAAAUAAGGACCUCGUGUGGUGUGCCUUAAUUCAAUGGCGAAAAG
rnacentral:misc_RNA from 1 species